AAAGGGAAGUGGUGAAUAACUGCUACUAAGUGCCUGGUCUAGGGCUGGAAGGAUAUAUACAGGCUCAACACUGCCCCAGUAUGUCUUCUUUCCAGCCCCCAUGUCUCCUGUGGAAGAUUAUAUUAUGCUCUUCCCAG
ensembl:miRNA